AAGAUUUUAAUUGAAUGCUAAAAGAAUGGAAAUUUAAAAAAAAACUUUUUUAAAAAUAAAAAUUGAAUUUUUUUUAAUUUGUGCAAAAACAAUUAUUAUUAUUAAAGACAAGAAGACCCUAAGAAUUUAUGAUUUUGUAAUUAGAAUUUUUUUCAAAAAAUCUUGAUUGGGGCGAUCAAAAAAUAUUAAUAACUUUUUAAAUUUAAAUUGAUCUAUUAUUAAUAAACUAAUGAAUUAAAUACUCUAGGGAUAACAGCGUAAUAAUUUUUGAUAGAUCUUAUUGACAAAAUAGUUUGCGACCUCGAUGUUGGAUUAGGAUCCUUUUUUAAUGAAAAAGUUAAAAAAAGAAGUUUGUUCAACUUUUAAAUUCCUACUU
rnacentral:rRNA from 1 species